rnacentral:rRNA from 1 species
UACGAAGGGGGCUAGCGUUGCUCGGAUUGACUGGGCGUAAAGGGCGCGUAGGCGGUUCGUACAGUCAGACGUGAAAUUCCUGGGCUCAACCUGGGGGCUGCGUUUGAUACGUGCGGGCUUGAGUGCGGAAGAGGGUCGUGGAAUUCCCAGUGUAGAGGUGAAAUUCGUAGAUAUUGGGAAGAACACCGGUGGCGAAGGCGGCGACCUGGACGAUGACUGACGCUGAGACGCGAAAGCGUGGGGAGCAAACAGG